GUUCUUCAUAUGGGUUCAGAAACCCUCUCGUUCACGCCUCUGAAGGUUUCAGUAUUCUUUAUCUUCUUCUCUCCUCUUCCUAUCCUCUCUCUCUGUCUCUCUCUGCUCGAUCUCUCUCAUCUGUCUCACUGUGCGUCGCACGCAAGAUCUCUCCCUCUCUCCUCUCUUGUCUCGCAAUCGAGGUCAUCGCCAGCGUUUCAACGUCUCGCGGCCUUCCCUGUGCUCCUCCUCGCCGGCAACAGAAGCACUCGUCGGAUCGUCGUCGCUCGUCAUCUUCUGGUUUCAAGUAAUCGCCGUCACGAGUCGCCGUGGAUCGUGGACUGUUGUAGGAUCUUCACUUGCUUCGUCGCUCAUCCUCUUCUAGGGUCGGGUCCUCUUCGUCACCCAGUCGCCCUUGGGUUGUUGACUGAUUAUUUGAUCUUGCCUAGCUUGUUGAAUGAUUAUUUGAUCUUUCUCAAGUUUCCGUAUAAGUUCUGGCCAAGUGGAUCCGAAAAGGAAUUCUUCAUAUAUGCUCACGAGUGACGAGGCUACUACACAUUUUGGCAGGGCACUGGCCUGGUGGCGUUAGUGGAAUGUUAGCAGGGGGUGCUGCUGCUGCGGCCGCUAUGUAUGGUGCUCACCAUUUGACUCAUGCUCAUUAUGGUCAUCAUCAUGGGUUCUUUGGUCAUGGGAAGUUUAAGAAUGGGAAAUUUAAGCAUGGCAAAUUCGGCAAGCGUUGGAAGCAUGGCAUGUUCAAGCGAUGGAAGUGAUACUGUGGCCAAUAUGGUGUAUGGUCAUGACUCAUGAGGGUUGUAUUCUGGGAUGAAUAAUGUUUACUAUUAGCAACUUAGUUUUUGUUGCAAUGCAUGCAAUGAAAUAGUUUAACACUAUUUUGUCAAUUGUUUUUGUUUUGCCUUUUGUGAUUAUGUGUGUGAUUCCUGUAUAUAUGUAUAUAAGAAAGCCAUCUUCCUUGA